GUGGAGAGGAAAAGAGGAGAAAAGGAGAGAGAGAGAGAGAGAGAGAUAUAGAAACGUGCAAUGUCUUGGGAGUAACCAGGAAGUGAUUGCACUAACAGAGAGAGAGAGAGAGAAAAAAUACAGAGAGCAUUGACCGACUGCAAAAUAAACUACUUGAUCAAGAAAAUCCGACAGAAAGAAACAAAACCAGGCUCCUCGACAUUUGUACCCUACUCCUGAUGGAUAAUCCUAGACGGAUGUGUGCAUCUUACCAGCAAUAAUAAAUUGUGCGUUCCAUUCACAAGAGAAGUUUCGGAUCAGGAAGGGGGAAUGCAAGACACCUGAGCCAGUCAAAUAUCCGCCGCAGGGGGAAUGAAAAAUGAAAGGCGAGUCAAUCAAUGUCAGUUUCAUGGAACAACUUACACCUAUACAGUUUCCUUUGUACCAUGUUAAAAGGAAUGUUGUGAAGUGUUUUACAAAAUGAACCGUGAAUAGAAAUGCAUCACACAGAAAACAGAUCUGCGUUUAAGAAUGCUAAUAGAUUGCAUAUAAGAACCGCAAAUGCGGCUGAACAACUUGCAGUGCACCUCAAUCACUUUUACUAAUUUAGCACCACAAAACAUUCACAUGGAGGUUAGGUUUUAGGAGGCAGAUCUCGCCAACUGUCAUCCUUUGAUUAUGAAUGCAAUUAUAGACUACAAGGCAACUUGGCAAACUACUGAAUUUUGUUGAAUAUCAUAAAAUCCAGUGGUUAAACCAGUGCAGGAAAUUGGCUGAGAUUAAGACUGCUACAUUGGUUAGUCACACAUUGGUAAAAUACAAGAUUAUAUGACUGAUGUCUGAUGUGACUAAUGUCAGGCAUUGGAUUUUAUGUUAAUAACCAACAAAAAAUUAAUUUUUACCAUGCAAUCCACCUGCUAGUGACGCACUAAAAAAAGUUAAACAAUCUCAGCGCAAUCUAAGCUCAGCACUGGAGAAUAUUUACAACCAUCCAUUGUAAUCUCUGACUUCAAUAAAAUAAUCAGACCUG